ACGGAGGGUGCAAGCGUUAUUCGGAAUUACUGGGCGUAAAGCGCGUGUAGGCGGUUUAGCAAGUCUGAUGUGAAAGCCCCGGGCUUAACCCGGGAAGUGCAUUGGAAACUGUUAGUCUUGAGUACUGGAGAGGUGGGGGGAAUUCCCGGUGUAGAGGUGAAAUUCGUAGAGAUCGGGAGGAAUACCAGUGGCGAAGGCGCCCUUCUGGACGGUUACUGACGCUGAGACGCGAAAGCGUGGGGAGCAAACAG
rnacentral:rRNA from 1 species